AGAGUUUGAUCCUGGCUCAGGAUGAACGCUAGCGGCAGGCUUAACACAUGCAAGUCGAGGGGCAGCAUGGGAGCGUAGCAAUACAUUCCCGAUGGCGACCGGCGCAAGGGUGCGAAACGCGUGAGCAACUUGCCCGCAUCAGGGGCAUAAUCGGUGGAAACGCCGUCUAACUCCCCAUAACAUAGAGAGUGGCAUCACUUUUUAUUGAAAUCCUUGGAGGAUGCGGAUGGGCUCGCGUGACAUUAGGCAGUUGGCGGGGUAACGGCCCACCAAACCGACGAUGUCUAGGGGAACUGAGAGGUUAAUCCCCCACACUGGAACUGAGACACGGUCCAGACUCCUACGGGAGGCAGCAGUGAGGAAUAUUGGACAAUGGAGGGAACUCUGAUCCAGCCAUGCCGCGUGCAGGAUAAGGUCCUAUGGAUUGUAAACUGCUUUUGUAUGAGAGCAAUAAGGAUCACGUGUGGUCCGAUGAGAGUAUCAUACGAAUAAGCAUCGGCUAACUCCGUGCCAGCAGCCGCGGUAAUACGGAGGAUGCGAGCGUUAUCCGGAUUUAUUGGGUUUAAAGGGUGCGUAGGCGGCUUGGUAAGUCAGCGGUGAAAUUCAGGUGCUCAACAUCUGCCGUGCCGUUGAAACUGCCGGGCUUGAAUGCGGAUGCCGUGGGAGGAAUGUGUGGUGUAGCGGUGAAAUGCAUAGAUAUCACACAGAACACCGAUUGCGAAGGCAUCUCACGAAUCCGCAAUUGACGCUGAGGCACGAAAGUGCGGGGAUCAAACAGGAUUAGAUACCCUGGUAGUCCGCACAGUAAACGAUGAUGGCUAACCGUCGGCGAUACACAGUCGGUGGCCAAGCGAAAGCGAUAAGUCAUCCACCUGGGGAGUACGACCGCAAGGUUGAAACUCAAAGGAAUUGACGGGGGCCCGCACAAGCGGAGGAACAUGUGGUUUAAUUCGAUGAUACGCGAGGAACCUUACCCGGGCUCGAACGGCAUUUGACGCGAUACAGAGACGUAUUGCUUCCUUCGGGACAGAUGUCGAGGUGCUGCAUGGUUGUCGUCAGCUCGUGCCGUGAGGUGUCGGCUUAAGUGCCAUAACGAGCGCAACCCUAAACGACAGUUGCCAUCAGGCAAAGCUGGGGACUCUGACGGGACUGCCACCGCAAGGUGUGAGGAAGGGGGGGAUGACGUCAAAUCAGCACGGCCCUUACGUCCGGGGCGACACACGUGUUACAAUGGUCGGGACAGAAGGUAGCUACACAGCGAUGUGGUGCCAAUCCUGAAACCCGAUCUCAGUUCGGAUCGGAGUCUGCAACUCGACUCCGUGAAGUUGGAUUCGCUAGUAAUCGCGCAUCAGCCAUGGCGCGGUGAAUACGUUCCCGGGCCUUGUACACACCGCCCGUCAAGCCAUGGAAGCUGGGGGUGCCUGAAGUCCGCGACCGCAAGGAACGGCCUAGGGCAAAACCGGUGACUGGGGCUAAGUCGUAACAAGGUAGCCGUACCGGAAGGUGUGGCUGGAUCACCUCCUU
rnacentral:rRNA from 1 species